AACCUGCCUUGUACUGGGGGACAACAGUUGGAAACGACUGCUAAUACCGCAUAAGCGCACAGCUUCGCAUGAAGCAGUGUGAAAAACUCCGGUGGUACAAGAUGGACCCGCGUCUGAUUAGCUGGUUGGUGAGGUAACGGCCCACCAAGGCGACGAUCAGUAGCCGGCCUGAGAGGGUGAACGGCCACAUUGGGACUGAGACACGGCCCAAACUCCUACGGGAGGCAGCAGUGGGGAAUAUUGCACAAUGGGGGAAACCCUGAUGCAGCAACGCCGCGUGAGUGAAGAAGUAUUUCGGUAUGUAAAGCUCUAUCAGCAGGAAAGAAAAUGACGGUACCUGACUAAGAAGCCCCGGCUAACUACGUGCCAGCAGCCGCGGUAAUACGUAGGGGGCAAGCGUUAUCCGGAUUUACUGGGUGUAAAGGGAGCGUAGACGGUUUUGCAAGUCUGAAGUGAAAGCCCGGGGCUUAACCCCGGGAAUGCUUUGGAAACUGU
rnacentral:rRNA from 1 species